UGGGGAAUAUUGGACAAUGGGCGAAAGCCUGAUCCAGCCAUGCCGCGUGUGUGAAGAAGGCCCUUGGGUUGUAAAGCACUUUCAGUGGGGAGAAAGGUCUGUCACCUAAUACGUGAUGGAAUUGAUGUUACCCACAGAAGAAGCACCGGCUAACUCCGUGCCAGCAGCCGCGGUAAUACGGAGGGUGCAAGCGUUAAUCGGAAUUACUGGGCGUAAAGCGCACGUAGGUGGUUUACUAAGCCAGCUGUGAAAUCCCCGGGCUCAACCUGGGCACUGCAGUUGGAACUGGUAAGCUAGAGUAGGGUAGAGGGGUGUGGAAUUCCAGGUGUAGCGGUGAAAUGCGUAGAUAUCUGGAGGAACAUCAGUGGCGAAGGCGACACCCUGGACUCAUACUGACACUGAGGUGCGAAAGCGUGGGGAGCAAACAGG
rnacentral:rRNA from 1 species